AAAAUAAAAAAUAAAAAAAUAAUUAAAAAAAAAAGAAAUAACAAUUUGGUCCCAGUCUUCACUGUCAGUGGCUGCUGAGGGUCCCCUGCCCUGGUGAGCGAGAGGCAGAGGAGGGAAUGGCCCCGUCCUCACCCCGUUACGGGAUUCCAGUCCCCUUCUGCCUGGUAGUGUCCACUUCUUACAGUUUUCAAGGACAUGCUUUCUGUGCUCUGAGCAGGGUGCCAUUUGUCAUCUGAGACAGAGAGGUUGUGUGGGGCUUUCUCCAUGUUGGCUCAACCAGAAGUCUACUGUCGCUUUAAAAUAAACGUAUUCGUGUUGUCCCAUAUGGUGACAUCUCCUUCUCUUUUCAGGCCAAAUAGCAUUCCACGGCGUGUAGACCCCACCUUUUCCUUAUCCAGUCUCCUGUCAACGAGAGUUAAGCUGUCUCUGUGUCUUGGCUUUUGUGAAGGAUGCUGCAGUCACAUGGGGCAGAGAUCUCUCCGAGAGGCUCCUUUUGAUUUUUUGGACAUGUACCCACAAGUGGGGUUGCUGGGUCGUGCUAAGUGAAAUGGACCAGUCACCGAAGGACCAGUACUGUGUGAUUCCGCUCAGGGGCUGCUCUGCACCUGCCAGCACGGCUCCCGUCUCUGAUUCCGAGAGUCCUGGUGUGGACAAGACAGAGAGGUCAUCUGGUCAGUCCUUCUCACUUUCCCGAAGGCCCCUGGGACAUUAGUUCCCAUCCUCCACACAAGGAAAUCGAGUCUCAUAGAGGUGAUAUGACCUGCCCAGAGUCACACAGCACAGAAGUGGACGAGAUGUAAUUUGAACCAGGUUCCUGGAUUCCAAAUGCCAGAGAUAUGACCGCCACACUGUCGCACUGCCCAAGGCAGGUACUGUUUAUUGAGUCCUACUAUGUGCUUGGGACUGGGCGAGGCUGGGAGAUACAGAGAUGAGAAGGCAGACCAUUCUGUGGUGUUUUUCAUCUGUCCUCUCCCCUGGGAACCUGGGAGCCAUGUAUCCCCAACACCUCGCACAGAGCUUGGCCCACCGCAGGGCUUCAGUGAAUGUUGGCUGAAGAAUGAAUGAACUGCUGCAAAUGAUAGAAGAAUAAGCAUAUUUUGUGAUUUCUCUGGGGUCUGUCCCCUUGACACUGUGUUCCCAGCACCUGGCACCAUGCCUGGUAGUGGCUCCGUAGGGAGACCAACUGGACCCGGACUCAGGCUUGGACUCCUGCCGAGUGGGUGUUUCUGCACAGCCACAGCACUUCUUGAAGCCUCAGUGUCCUCAUCUGCUCAGUGGGGAUAAUAAUUGCAUCUCCUUCAGAGGAUCAGGGAGAUCGCCCAAGUGAACGCCUGUGUGACAGCACAGGGCCCUCCCAGGAAAAGGCGUCCACUACUGAGCAGGUCAAACUUCAGAUCCUGUCACUAGCUGCCCGAGGAGCCACUUGAAUCGAAGGAGGGCUUAGGAAGGUGGUUCUUGCAGUUUGGUGUGAACUUAGAACACCCAACAGACCAUUGGCAUGGCAUAAUCACUUUAUGUAGAUGAGACAAGCAGGAAGUCGGCACCACCGUGUCCAGGGGAGGGCGCUGCUACCUGGUGGCCUGAGGUCAAUCUCAUGUGAAAGCAAUGUGAACCUGGAAGGUUACUGAGCCCUCUGCUUCUCAGUUCCCUGGUCUGGGAUGUGGAAAUGUUAACAGGACCUGCUUCUUAGCAUUGUGUUAUGACGCUAAAAAUAAGUAAAUACAAAGCCCAAAGAAAAUGAUUUGUGCGUAGAUGCUCCCUCCAUCAGUGCUCAAGUAUUAAAGGCCCAGAAGGAUCAGCAGGAGUGCAGUACUGGAUGUCUCCAGAGGGAGCGCAUGGAAGGCUGCGAAACAGGAGGCUGCAAACCUUCCUUGUCCACGCUGAAAUCAGAGGUUUUGGAGCCCUUGGAAACAAUCUGUUCUUUCCUCUGAGGCUCACGUCUGCGCUGUGGGGUGGGCAGAGUGGGAGCUGUGGCCCAUCUUUAAUGGUCCGGGGCACUGUAACGUAGAGGGAGUCAGUGACUUGCCCAGGGUCACAACACUGAUGCAUGAUGGAUCUGAGGUGGGGAUCUGGAUGGUUCCCUGGGAGAGAGGUCCCUGAGCUCAUGCCCUGGACGCCGGGACCAAGAGCUCUCCUCACUCCUUCCCCACCUCCUCCUGCCCCAAGGCUGCUGCGGGGAGACAGUGGGCACCCCAAGGAGGUGCCUCAUCCAAGAGAAUGGCUCCCAUCCUGACCCCAUUCCUGGCUCUGUUCCAAUCUCUGAGCUAAAAUUCAAUCCCUUGCCCCCAAAUAAAGUCACCCUAAUGGACCGAGGGGAUCCAAACAUGUGUCCGUCCACCCCUCACUUGCCCCCAGCCUGGAUUCUGUCAGAUCCUUGGAGUGAGACUUCCUGGGGGUCAGGUGGCCACGAAUGAUCAGUAGUCUGCAUGACCCCCACCUGGGUGAGAACCCAGGACGGUCCACACCCACUGCCCACAUGACGUUUGCACCAAGAAUUAGCUUCCUCUUCAACUGGCCAAAGCUGGAUGAUGAGCAGUUAAUAGUAACUGACUGGGAAAGGGGUCUGCUGGGCUGCAGCUUAGGUGGCUCGAUGAAUGGCGUCCACAGGCCCCCGGCGUCUUGCUGACUGGAGGUCUGACCAGCCAUCUGAGCAGUGAGAGCGGGCAGGGGCUACACCAGGCUUGAGCGUGCCCCUUCCCCACCCGAGUCCUGCCUCACUAAGAUCCAGGCUUUGCUCUACACACGACAAGCAUUACUCUUGAAUCUACUCACUGGUACUGUUUCCACAGGACCUUCUGUGGAGUGGUCAGGGGGGUGAUAUUUGUGGCUCUACCCUGUCGUUUGGCCGGAUGCCCAUUUUGAUGUGCUCAACCACUGCCGGCGAUGGCCAGUAGGUUUCCUUGACCACAGGUGAUUUUCUUGUGCAUCUUAUAUUUGAAUCCCCUAUGAUCUUCAUUUUCUUUUUGUAACCCGAGACAUGAUUUUGGGAAGUACACUAAAAAUGGAGACAACUGUUGAUAUGUUGCUGGCUGCAGACACGCAUGGAGGAGGACUCCCUGAGGUGGCUCCGUGGGACCCAGAAGGCAGCUAAACAUGGGCCUCUCUCGCAUGUAAGCAAGUGCAAGCUUUAUUCCUAGUCCAGGAUUUGGGAUUUGGGUGAGGAGAGGAGACCAGAAACAUGCUCAACAUUAUGCUUUCCCCGCUCACUUCUCCAGAAGGCUCCGGGAGCCUGUGCAGGAGGCUAAGAGGAAACAUUCUCCAUGUCACUCACCCUGAGAGCGCCCUUCAAGCCAGGAGUGAGCAGAGGACAGAACACAACAGUGCUGCUGCAGGAGCUGAACAUGUGGAGGGAGAGGGGCCCUUCUCGCCACCUGCUGACACACGGAGAGCACACUUGAAGCCACAGACACGCUCCUACUCUCAUGUCAUUAACACGUGAAAGAGCACAGCAAGCCAUCACAUGUAUUUCCUUCUUUCUCAUUUCAUGCCCCUCUUCCUCCGUCUCCAGAGCAGUGGGUGUAACCCGACUGCCCCGGGCUCCCGCUCCCAUUGGAUGCCAGCUGAGUGAUGUUCCCACUUGGAGAGUCCUCCUCCUCGCUGUGGGAGUCACACCCCCUGUCAACCAUCCAAUCUUCAGAGACACAGACAUCAGCAAGAAAGUGAUUGCAAGGAGGGGCUCACCCACUCCUUCCACUCCACUCGAGGCCCUGAUGGCUCCCACAGCCUCACCCUGCUCUUUGCUCUUGGCUCUCAGACCUUCCCUGGGCUCCGUGAGUCAGAAUCCUUCAAGGAGACAUUGGUCACAGUUGCAAACCCUCAAAUGAGAGAGGGGACCCCCUUCCACUUCUCACUCCUCAUUCCACUGGAUCGGGAUAGCUCCAGCCUCCAAUGGGAUCAACCUGAGCCUCCACCUGAGAUGCACACACUCGGGUUAAAUGAGUUCAGCGAGCAGACCCUGCGCCAGGCUCAGAGCAGCUGCCCAAGAGGAUGUUCUGUGCAGAUGGAAAUGUUCUGUGCUGUAAACGUUGGCUACUGGGCACUUGAAAUGUGGCUGUGUGAUGAGGGACCGAUGCUUAAUUUGAUUUGCUCUAAUUAAGUUAAACAUGAACACGCCCGUCUCCCUAGAGGUACCACACUGGAUAACACGACUCCAGAAUCCAAAGAUGAGGACGACACAACCCCCCGCCCCUGGUUGCUCCUGCAGAGCAGUCUGUGGCCUGAUCCGACCAUUCACUUGUAGGUUCUUCUGGGCACAUGCGCACAGGCCAGCCACUACAUGAGGCCCUGGGGACACUCAAACAGUAAGGUCAACGCCAGCUCCUAGAGGAUUCCCGCAGGGGCCCACCUGUAAGCAGAGGUGCAGAGCAUGCUGGGCACACCUGUGCUGGCCAUAGAGCGUGAGGUGGGGGAGGGACACUUCACUGUCUUCUGGAGCCCCCUUCUCACCCCUGAUCUGGACUGGAGCUUGGGCAGGCACCUAGCUCAGUGUGGGGCCCAACAGGCCUGGACCAGCUGAGGGGAGCCAUUCCCACACUUGAACCAGGUCCCAGCCCAGGGCUGUAUCAUCAGAUGUUUAUUGGGGCCUGAGAGUUGUUGUCGAGGGCUGAGCGCUGGGGUGAGAAGGGAUGAGGAAGACACAGGGGUGCCCGCACAGUGACCUCCAUGGCCAGGACUCCUGUCCCCGCAAGUGAGAGGAUACAUACAGUCUGGGCCUGAGAGUCCCGGGGCCUUUCAGAGAAACGCUCACACUGACGACCUCCUGGCCAUGGAAGGAAGAGCAAGGACCACCUCCACCUGGGAUCAGCCCCCAUCUCUUUGCUGACCUCACCCUGCCCUGGAGCCCAUGCCCCUCUCACCUCCUCUGCUGCUAGAAUGUUCUACAGCAGCCCUGGCCAAGUGGUGUGAGAUUUCUUCAGUUUAAAUGUGUUCCUGGGCCAGACAACCUUUGGGAACAGUGUGCAGACAAGGACUGGUUGUCAGGUGACUUCCAGAAACAGGUGAAAAAUAGAAACUGGUCCCUCCAGGCCCCAGGGGCACAGGCCUGGGAACCCCCCCUGUCUGUGGCGCCCCUGUGCUUCCAUCCCUGCUGAGCCACCUCCUAGCCAAUCCCAGCCAGAGCCAGAAUCAGGCUGCUCUCCACGCUAAAGCCGGCAUGUUUUUUCCUCAGCAAGUGAGAGAUUCCAGAAUAUAUCCCACUUCUUCUUGUUCCUGAGGCCACCUGCGAUUACAGAGGAGAAAACACUGGGGAUCAGGCCACAACGGGUAUUGUUUGCACAGCUUGUCCAUUCUCUUUGUGACCUUGGGAAACCACGUGGGAAACCAGGGUCAAGUCAAAGGCCUCAAAGCAGGUGCAGAGGACGCCUCUGGUGUGUCUCUCCAGUCCAUCCUGGUGGCAAUGACAAAAUUCUUAAGCCAAGGAGAAAGACUGCUGCUGAGCCAAAGGCCCCCAGCAUCCAGUGUAUGACGGAGGCUGUCACUUGUAGGUAUCCUCUUGGAUCAGAGGUCAGCUGGUAAGAGACUCUCACUCAACACUCCCCCCACCAUGGAAAUUGUAUGUAUCACCCCUAACAUGCAUGGUCAGGUUUUCAUAUGUGAAUUUGAUUGUAAAGGAAAGAAACCAAGAAAGCAGCAUUUCUAUUUCAGACAAAGAAAGUGACCUUAUCUUGGCAACAGAUGGGGCCUCUUCCUCUGCCCUGUCCCAGGGAAGCUCCUCCAGCAGGCACUCGGGGGAUCUCGGAGGGCGCAGUCACUGUCAGUCAUUGGUGGUGCAGCUCAGGAAUUACUCAGGGAGCUUUGCUUGAUGUGGACAUGGGGCCAACAUGUAUAGAGGUAGUUGGUCAACAAGCACAGACUGAGGUGCUGCUGGAUGAAGGAAGGCAAAGGGGAGGAGGAAGAAAGAAGUGAGAAACAGAGUCCUUGGCCUUGCAGCUAAAGGCAACCUUAAGCAAGGAGAAUUAGUCAGUCUACAAGUGGUUCUAAACCACACGCUGUGAUCGAGUGGCAGAGUCCCAUCGCCCCUCCUCCCUGUGGUGGAGCUCAUCUCAUUGCCAUGAUCUUGGCCUCUUCUAAGACCUUCUCAGUCUCCAUGGAAAUGAUGUCACUACUGCAUUUAUUGUCUGCUGUGUGGGAUUUCUGACUUGAUUAAAAGCAGACCUUUAUUGGUGGAAUAGAUUUAAUUACAGACAAUACAUUCUAUUGUACUUGUUCACUAAUUCUUUGUCAUAAAGAUACCCAAACAUGGAAGACAUUUGAUGGAAAUACUGAAAUACUGCCAUUUAAAAGUAAUCAUUAUUAGUCAUGUUAUUUUUACUUCCAGUCUUGCUUUUCUUUGUUACGUGUGGCUGUCUUGCUCCGGUGGCAGUGCAGUGGUGGCUCAUCGUGAGGGGUGGGGUAUGGGGU